rnacentral:SRP_RNA from 1 species
GGCGAGAAGUCGGCGGUGUGUCCUCCCGACCCCGACGCGAUGGCUCGGUGGAGGCUGCAUUUGUCGUCCAGGUGUCCGUGUCGGAGGCGGUCGAGGGAGGACACGUUCGCGCGGGCCUGGAGCUUGUGCUGUAGGUCAGUGUCUGCCGGGAGCAGCGAUAGCGGAGCUUCCCUCGCGCGCAGAGACC